GUAGGUGGCAAGCGUUGUCCGGAAUUAUUGGGCGUAAAGCGCGCGCAGGCGGUUCUUUAAGUCUGAUGUGAAAGCCCACGGGCUCAACCGUGGAGGGUCAUUGGAAACUGGAGAACUUGAGUACAGAAGAGGAAAGCGGAAUUCCACGUGUAGCCGUGAAAUGCGUAGAGAUGUGGAGGAACACCAGUGGCGAAGGCGGCUUUCUGGUCUGUAACUGACGCUAAGGCGCGAAAGCGUGGGGAGCAAACAGGAUUAGAUACCCUGGUAGUCCACGCCGUAAACGAUGAGUGCUAAGUGUUAGGGGGUUUCCGCCCCUUAGUGCUGCAGCUAACGCAUUAAGCACUCCGCCUGGGGAGUACGGCCGCAAAGGCUG
rnacentral:rRNA from 1 species